rnacentral:rRNA from 1 species
CCUACGGGUGGCAGCAGUGAGGAAUAUUGGUCAAUGGGCGAAAGCCUGAACCAGCCAAGUCGCGUGAGGGAGUACUGCCCUAUGGGUUGUAAACCUCUUUUGUCGGGGAGCAAAAGCCGGACGUGUCCGGCUGUGAGAGUACCCGAAGAAAACGCAUCGGCUAACUCCGUGACAGCAGCCGCGGUAAUACGGAGGAUGCGAGCGUUAUCGGGAUUUAUUGGGUUUAAAGGGUGCGCAGGCGGAUUUUUAAGUCAGCGGUAAAAUCGUGGGGCUCAACCCCAUCCAGCCGUUGAAACUGGGGAUCUAGAGUGUGCGAGAGGUAUGCGGAAUGCGUGGUGUAGCGGUGAAAUGCAUAGAUAUCACGCAGAACCCCGAUGGCGAAGGCAGCAUACCGGUGCACAACUGACGCUCAGGCACGAAAGCGUGGGUAUCGAACAGGAUUAGAUACCCGAGUAGUC